UACUUCCUCCUUCCGUUCGAAAAUACUUGUCAAAGAAAUGGACGUAUCUAGAUAUAUUUUAAUUAUAGAUACAUCUAUUCUUAUUCAUUUUUGCGACAAGUAAUUCGGGACGGAGGAAAAAGGAGAUA
rnacentral:pre_miRNA from 1 species